GCUCUCGUAGAGGAGCGGAGUCCUCACCGCGCUGUCAACGCGGAGAUCGUGGGUUCAAAUCCCACCGGGGGCG
rnacentral:tRNA from 1 species